CACGUAGGGCGCAAGCGUUGUCCGGAAUUAUUGGGCGUAAAGAGCUCGUAGGUGGUUUGUUACGUCUGCUGUGAAAACCUAGGGCUUAACCCUGGGCUUGCAGUGGAUACGGGCAGACUAGAGGUAGGUAGGGGAGAAUGGAAUUCCUGGUGUAGCGGUGAAAUGCGCAGAUAUCAGGAGGAACACCGGUGGCGAAGGCAAUCCCCUGGACCUGUACUGACGCUCAUGCACGAAAGCGUGGGGAGCAAACAGG
rnacentral:rRNA from 1 species